rnacentral:rRNA from 1 species
AUUGAACGCUGGCGGCAGGCUUAACACAUGCAAGUCGAGCGGGGGAGGUUGCUUCGGUAACUGACCUAGCGGCGGACGGGUGAGUAAUGCUUAGGAAUCUGCCUAUUAGUGGGGGACAACAUUCCGAAAGGGAUGCUAAUACCGCAUACGCCCUACGGGGGAAAGCAGGGGAUCUUCGGACCUUGCGCUAAUAGAUGAGCCUAAGUCGGACUAGCUAGUUGGUGGGGUAAAGGCCUACCAAGGCGACGACCUGUAGCGGGUCUGAGAGGAUGAUCCGCCAAACUGGGACUGGAACACGGCCCAGACUCCUACGGGAGGCAGCAGUGGGGAAUAUUGGACAAUGGGCGGAAGCCUGAUCCAGCCAUGCCGCGUGUGUGAAGAAGGCCUUUUGGUUGUAAAGCACUUUAAGCGAGGAGGAGGCUACUAGUACUAAUACUACUGGAUAGUGGACGUUACUCGCAGAAUAAGCACCGGCUAACUCUGUGCCAGCAGCCGCCGUAAGAC